rnacentral:lncRNA from 1 species
GGUCUGAUAAAUAUUAUAUUAAUGAUAUUUCUUCUACCUUCUUGAUGAACAUGAGAUGUUCAUGAAUCUUAAGACAUUUCUUUUGGAAAAAAAUUCUUUAGUGAAGGAACUGAUGCCAUUAAGAGCAAACUUGGUGAACCUUAAUAGAUAGAAGAUGAAGAAAAAAUAGGUAGUUCAAAGCAUGUAUUUUUUAAAUUUUACAGUGAAAUAAUAAAAUAUUAAAUAUUUUAAUCUUCUAAAUAUAUUUUAGAUCAGAUCUAAACUAUCAUUAAGGAUCUAUGACAUAAAAAAUUUACAUA